rnacentral:misc_RNA from 1 species
AAAUUAAAAGUACAGAUUAUUUUUGAAAAACAUGCUAAUGUUUAGCACCAUUUUUUGGUAUGUUUGCCUUUUAUAAACAAUUUCUGUUUACAAGAUUUACCUUCCCACAAGAUCGAGAUAACGACACUUCAACCAUGACUUCUUUCACAUAACUGAGUUGUUUUAAAGGAAAUCUGAAAUUAUUUCAUGUCAAAAAACUGUUCCAAAACAAAUAUCAAGUAUCUAUAAACUUCGUGUCAUUAUGUUUUGGAAGUAUACAGCCCAAUUCAAAUCACCCCAGAACAAUGCAAAUUCA